rnacentral:rRNA from 1 species
UACGUAGGGUGCAAGCGUUGUCCGGAAUUAUUGGGCGUAAAGAGCUCGUAGGCGGCUGUUCAAGUCGAACGUGAAAACCCGGGGCUCAACUCCGGGCCUGCAGUCGAUACGGGCUGGCUUGGAGUGCGGUAGGGGAGACUGGAAUUCCUGGUGGUAGCGGUGAAAUGCGCAGGAUAUCAAGGAGGAACGACCGGUGGCGAAGGCGGGUCUCUGGGCCGUAACUGACGCUGGAGGAGCGAAAGCGUGGGGAGCGAACAGG